UAGCCUAGUGGUUAAGGCUAUGGACCGCCAAUCCGGAGACGGCGGGUUCAAUUCCCGU
rnacentral:tRNA from 1 species